CUCUUUGCCUUAGGUUUGGCGCUAGGUGCCCCAGAAGUGUGCAACCAGGUCACCUCAUCCCAGUCUGUCCGGGGCCUUCUCCCUUGUACUGCCCAGCAGCAGCCGCCACAGCCACAGCCGCAGCAACUUCCUGCGCUCCCACCCACGCCUCAGCAACAGCCACCCUUGAAUAAUCACAUGAUCUCACAGGUGAGUCACCAGCAGAGCCCCUCCGCUCUGAUUCAAGCAAGCUCUGGAAGUACAGUCAUGUCUGUUGUGCUGUGGGUGGCAGGAAAGAUCUGUUGUUGGAGACCUGCCACUCGCUCCCCCGUUUCUUAUUUGUUAGUUGUGGGGAGAGAAGAGUAAGGUAAGGGUUUGGCCAAAGUGCUCUUAGAGUCAGCCUGGGAGCUUUUUGCCUUCUGUUUCUUCCUUUUCUUCCUGAGAAUUGCCAGUGGGAUCUUUUACCCCAUUCCACAUUUCUGCUGUAGCCCAUUUCCCUCUACAUCCUGUGUAAUUAGCAAGGCGAUUUUGUUCACUGCAUCCAUAUAUGGAGCUUGAAAAAAAUCAUGGCUCUCACCAUAACCAGCUGGAUGUAUUCAUGUGACUGUUGACCCGCAAACACAUAUUUAUGGAUUGGGGUUUGAAAAAAGGAAAUCUACUCAAGACCCCUUCCAUACAUAUGCCAUAAGGCACAAUCCCCCCCAAAGUUGUCUUUGUUUCCCAUGCCACGAAAGAGCUCUUUCUCCUUCUGUUGCUGGACUGGUAGAUAUUAAUAUCAAGUAGGGUUUGCGUGAAGUUUCCUUUCUGCAGAGAUCACACAAGUCUUCAGCAUCAGAAUCCGAGCCUAUUCUAAACUGGGACAUCAGUGUUGUAGGUUCAGGUCUCCCUGAUACUCUGAGCAGAGCUGCUCAUGAGUGGAGUCCAUCCUGUAUCCUGGGGUAUGUCUGGCGGUGGUCUCUGCCAGUCAGAAAGCCCGUAUGUCUGCACUCUACUGCUACAGUUCUUCUCAUUGCACCUCCCAGGCUCCCUCGCCUCUGGGCUUAGUCAGUUCAGCUUGGCAUCAGCUCUAUCUCUUCCAUAGGUAAAAGAAGCAAAUCACAAGCAUUAACACCCCAGGAACUGGAAACUAUCAGUAGACUGCAAAGAGCCCAGGAUGGCCCCGUAUUACCCCAUUCUGAUAUUGUAAUCAUCUAGGAAACCCUGCUUUGUGUCUUAAUGUAACCCACAUGCAGAUCAUUCCAGGCCUUUAUCUUGGCCCCUAAGUCAGUUUCUCUAGAGUUCUGACUUUUGUUCUUGCUUGAUCACCAUCUAUCUCAUUAAGUCUCAUUCAUGUCAGCUUACCUCACUCUGUACAGAGGUGUGGCACAAGUGUGUGCAUUCCGUUUGUGUCUUCAUUCAGACCUAUAAAUGGGUACACCUCUCUCUCUCUGGGUAUCUCCUACUGUGUUUCUGUGUGUGCCUCAGUUUUCUAAGGUCCCAGUGUUUGAGUUUUCUAAAAUGUGUGUAUUUUAAUACAGUCUUCCUCCCUUUUCUCCGUCUUAGUCUUCAUCUGCCUCCUACUUCCAUCCAUAUCUAGAAACAGACAAGAGUGGGAAAGGAAUAAAGAGAUCACUAGAAUAACCAUUUGGGACUGAAAAAAUGUUAGAAUGUCUAGGUGUCUGGCCCUAAAUCCCAAACUUUUACUCAGAUUCUGGCCCUGCUUCUGGAUCAUGAGGUUCUGUGAGUCAGUCAUUGAUAUUGACUGAUCUCCUGCAGGAGGUAUGGUACUAGGUUAGGCCUUGUAGAUUGGAGAUCUCUGUUUCCUCAGAAAUCCAUUCUUAAGGUUAACUGUGAUCACAAACUCCAAACUAAAAGAUCUUUUCCUGCUUAAGUUUUGGUGUCCCUGAAGCACUUAAUGAUGGUGACUAAUAUACUACCACCACCCCACUAUUUAUUUAUUUUUUUAAUGUUUAUUUACUUUUGAGAGAGAGAGAGUGGGGGAGGGGCAGAGAGAGAGGGAGACACAGAAUCCAAAACAGGAUACAGGCUCUGAGUUGUCAGCACAGAGCCCGACGCGGGGCUCGAACCCACAAACUGUGAGAUCAUGACCUGAGCCAAAGUUGGACGCUUAACGGACUGAGCCACCCAGGCACCUCCGCCACCCCACUGUUUAUACCUCCUUUUUUUUCCUCUCCACUUUCCGCCCUCUCUCUCUAUGCCUUCUUCUUCCUAUUGUCUUUUUCUUUCUUUGUUUUUUUCUCUUUUUCCCUCUCAGGACUGGUGGCUCUCCAGUCUCAAGGUGCUGAGCCCCAGCAUAUUUAUUGUUUAGUUUCACAAAUGGUUUGCAACAGUGCAGGGAUGAAGGAAGGAACCACACACACAUGCCACAUACAUGCCACCGUGCUGACUCUAAAGGUUUUCCUUUUGGAGAAAUAGCAAGAAAAGCUCUGUGUUCCAAGGCCUGGGGACAGUGCUAGAAACUAUGUUAAACUUUCCCUUCCUGGCAGGCUGUCCGAGCAGACCUCCCUAUGUAAAACCAAGGGGUGAGGUUGAGAAUUAAAGGGCCAGUGGCUACCUUUUGCUGUGUUUACCUAAGGUAGAGUGGACCACUUGAAAAGGAGGAGUCCUCUGGGAAUCAAGUUAGGCAGCCCAGAGCCAGCGAUCUAGCCCAGAAUUCACCAGCAGGUGGCAGUCAUAUCCCUCAUGGCCAGUCUUUGGCUUCCUCGUGGUAUUUCGGAAGCUCCCUAGCCCUGGUGUUUGAGACUGUCUGAGAACUGUCGCUGAGGGUAGUGGUGGAAGAACCUAAAAAUAGCACUGAGACACAUACUUUUACCACUACUCUUCUUCAGUCAAAAGAGGCCUAUGAGAGGAGCAUCAUUUCUUCCCUCUUUACUUUUUACUCAAAUGUGUAAGAAAUGUGAGGAAAACAGGCAGCUGUACCUAUGGCUACCCCUUCUCCCCCAAAGGAUGUAAGAUCUGAAGCAUAGUAGACCCUUCCCCAAGAGAAAGGAGAGGAUCAGGGUAAUAGAACACGUGUUUAAAAGCUACCAGCACAAGGAGCUCAUGCUGAGCAGGUUGGCCAGCAGUUACAUUUGAAAUGCCACUGGCUCACAGAACAUGGCAUGCCAGGAGAGCUGGGAGUCUAUCAAGGCUGCGGUAAUGUCUCCCCCAGUCUCACAGGGGAUUCUCAGGAGCUUUUUCUUAACCAAGAUGACUUACAUUUUAUUUUCAACAAACUCUAGGUAUCAGGAGCUUUCUCUGUUUUGGAGGUCUUCUAAUUCCCGGACUCUGCCUCCAGAACUGCUAGUCCCCUCUAUGAAAGAGUCUCCCGGAAGUAUAUGGCAAAAGACGAUAUUGACACCUUGGUCCCUGAUACCUCUUAAUACUCUAAAUUUGGAAGGAGGGAGGAGAAUCAUACAAACAAAACAAUGUGUAAAUCUGUUUAACUUCUUCCUUCACCCGCUCCCUACUGUUGACAGUGGAGUGGGAAGAAUAUGUCAGGCAGAACUAGGUUCCCAUCCCAGCUCUGCCACAUUAGAUGUGUGAUCCUGGACGUGUGACUGAAUUUCUCUGAGCCUUACUACCUUAACUGCAAAUACAAGCGAUCCUGUCUCCCUGUGGAUUACUGUGAGUCUGUAAUGAGAUAUGUAUGUAAAUGAGACAACGUAUAAAAUGUUAUUUCCCCCUCUCUUCGUAGCCUCUCUCCUUUUCUCCCACCUCAUCUACCACCAGGGGCUACAGCUAGAGAACCGAUUCUCCAGGAGAAGUGAUUGAAAUGGCUGGAGGGGAAGAAGAUAGAAAAAAAAUAACUCCCCAUUAGUUGGUUUAGAACACAUCAUGUUCCUAAUAAACAAAUCCUCCUGCUUGAGGCUAGUGAAGGGACUAAAGGAACAAAAUCUAAAGCAAGGCUAUUUAUAUUUUAUUCCACAUCCCUCCCUGUUUGCUUAUGGGGGCAUUUUUCAUACUGCCCUCACAGCCUGGAGGAGCACAGAACAAUCAUGGAGCAGGAGGAAGUAGCUGGAACUGGGCAUAAACUGGCUCUUACUUUCUUCUGUACCCUUGGGAGGGAGACGAUCCUUGUGAAUGAGCUCUUCCUCCAGGAGAGCUGUGGUGUGAAAUCAGGACUGUGGCCGGGAAAGCUGAGCCAGACCUUGGAUGACCCCUCCUACAAAAGCAGGAAUCCCUUCUCAAGUGGGCAUUCAAGGAGGGUUAUGGUCAUGCUCCCCAGGGAUCGUAUGUUCAGAAAAAAUGCUUUGGGAAAAGCCGUGUUUGGAAUCAGGCAGCAGACACACCGGCUCUGAGAGUCCUAAGAUUGCUCUCAACGACUGCAGAGUUCUGAGUAGCUAAUGGGUGGAGUGCGCACUGCAGCAGGCCUCUCCUGAUAGGAGAGAUUGCGUAUCUGUCGCCGAUGCGGAUGCGAAAGCCACAGGCUGUCCUGGGCUUGGUCUCCAGUCUGCUCAGCAGCCUUGCUCUUCAUGUGACAUUUUUUUAUGAUUAACCUUGUUGUUCCUCCCCUUUCCCUCCCCACCUCUGCCCUCCCUCCCCCUGCCUCUCCCUGCACUUCCCUUUUCUCUUCCCUGUUCCACAUGCCUCUCUGCUGGUCCACAGCCAGUCCCAGCUCUGCAGCCCUCUCCGCAGCCUGUUCAGUUCUCUCCAGGCUCCUGUCCCCAAGUCCUUCUGCCAGUCUCUCCGCCCCAGCAGUACAACAUGGUAUAAACUCCUUUCCCCUUUUUGUCGUGUCCAUGUGUGGUAUGUCUGUGGGUCCGUCUGGGACAAAGCAGCUGUACUUUUUGGAGGGCCAUGUUAAAAGGCAUAUCUUCUUGAGCAAAGGGCCAGCAUAGGGUGAGCUAUGUUCCAUUCUGGUGGCCUCAUCCCAGCACUUGUGGCAUCAAAAGAUGCCUAAAUGUAAGAGAGGAGCGCUGGUUCCCCUGAGUCUCGGGAGAGGUACAGAAUUGGAUAUUGCUCUAACCUGGGCUCCUUGUCUUUCUACUGUGUGCAUCUUUCAUCCCUCCUCCUCCCUGGAUAUGUCUGAAGAACCCAGUUUAUCUCAUAUAGGAUGGUUUUCUGUCAUUUCCUUUGAAGGUAAAAACACAACUGCAGAUUUGUUUGGUAUCAUCGGUCCAAACUUAAAAUGUUCCCCUAUGUUACUGUGUUAUUUUAUAUUAAAAAAAAAAAAAAAAAACUCCAUUUCCGCGGCAUAGCACAUGCUGUUUAAAUUGUUUGUACCCUAGCUACAAAUCCUAUGAAGACCUGAUCCACCUCAUAGUUGAUAACUUUUUUUUUAACUUAACAUCUUUUUUUUUUAAUGUUUGUUUAUUUUGAGAGAGAAAGAAAGUAUGAGCAGGGGAGGGGCAGAGAGAGAGAAUCCCAAGCAGGCUCCAUGCUCUGCGAGGAGCCUGACUUGGGGCGCAGUCCCAUGACCUUGCGAUCAUGACCUGAGCCGAAAUCAAGAGUCCUCUGUGUUUAACCGACUGAACCACCCAGGUGCCCGCCCCAUAGUUGAUAACUUUUAUCAUGGUUAUCAGAGCCCUGAUUAUUUUUAAUUUUGUGUUAACCACACCUGUCUGGUUUUUGGUUUUUUAAAUGUUUAUUUAUUUAUUUUGAGAGAGAGAUCAAGAGCGAGUGGGAGAAGGGCCAAGAAAGAGGGAGACAGAGAAUCCCAAGCAGGCUGUGCACUGUGUCAGCACAGAGCCUGAUGCAGGGCUUGAAAUCAUGAACUGUGAGAUCAUGACCUGAGCUGAAACCAAAAGUCAACUGCUCAAUCAACUGAGCCUCCCAGGCACCCCACACCCUUCUAAUUUUUCACUAGAAUCCCCUUUCCUUCCGCCUAUAUCUCCAUUCUGAAAAGUUUUGGAAUGUAGACCUCAAAAUUAUCUGCAAUCCAGUCCUCUUAUCAUCUAUUCCUGCUCACUAAGGUAGCAGAACAGCUAACUUGAAGAUCAGAUUCCUGAAAAUUAAGUGAAACCACGGGAAAGCAUUGCCUUUUCUUUCUACUAGUUCCUCUUUCAAAAGAAGUCCUGCUCUGCGUGUGUGUGUGCGUGUGUGUGUGUGUCAACUACCGUCCGGGAAGCAGAAGGAACGAGGAAGCUAACAAAUUCUAACCUAUCAUCAUACAAGUGAGAGGCAGAACACCAUCCCUCUUGCUGCUUAGAGAAGAAGGCUGAGCGAGGAGGCAAUUACAGACUAGCCUGUCAGCCUCCUUGCCCUUCACCUUGGCCACUCAGCCUGGCCUCCUUUCAGAGGUGAGAAUUGGAAGUAGUUCCUGAAGGGCAGGAGAACUCUAGGCAAGUGUCAGCGAACAGAGGUGGAAAUGACCUCAAGAGGAGGGAGUAAGGAGAUAAGCAGCAGGAGGGGGAGCCCACCAGUCCUUUCGCUGCAUAGGCAAAGCUGGGGAGCCACGAGAACCUAACCAUCCCUAAUCCAUUCGAGGUGUUACUUAUCUAGGUCCUUUAUUACAAAAACAGGAUUUAUGGCAAUAUAGGGCCUUUUGUAUGGUUGGAGACUGGAAGACCGGAAAAGAAGGACUUACAAUCUUUUUCUUGUUAACCCAUUAGUUUGUCCUGUUUUUUUCUAUAUAUAUAUAUAUAUAUAUAUAUAUAUAUAUGUAUAUAUAUAUAUAUAUAGAAAGUUGUAUUGUUGCUCCCAUCUCUCUAGGACCAAUUCUAAUAAAGAUCAGAGUCACCGUGGCCAUUGUUAUGUGGUAAGGAGUCCGGUUCUGGAGUUGGGCUUUACACAGCUGUUCAGUUCAUAGCAAUUUUUUUUAAGAUUUUAUUUUUAAGUAAUCUCUCCACCCUAUGUUGGGCUUGAGCUCACAACCCCAAGAUCAAAAGUUGCACGUUUCACCGACUGGGCCAGCCGGGCACCCCCAGUUCAUAGCAAUUUAAAACACCACAUGACAGAAGCUUAGGGCUAAAAAGCGCCUCCUAGGGCAUGGAGGCAGGAGUGUCCCAAAUUGGUGUAAGGAAGGAAGGCUGUAGAGGGGGUUGCUAUAGCUGUCUGUCUGUCUGUUUUUGUGUUGAAGCCAAAGACUUGGGGCUUGAUAUGACCUCAGUCCUUGAGUCUCCCUUGCUCUCUCAACAGGCAGAUGACCUCAGCAACCCCUUUGGACAAAUGAGCCUUAGCCGUCAAGGUUCUACUGAAGCAGCUGACCCAUCCUCAGCUCUGUUCCAGCCCCAGCUUAUCUCCCAGCACCCUCAGCAGACUAGCUUCAUCAUGGCUUCUACAGGACAGCCCCUCCCCACAUCCAACUAUUCCCCCUCUAGCCAUGCGCCUCCUACUCAGCAAGUCCUGCCGCCCCAGGGCUACAUGCAGCCCCCUCAACAGGUGAGCAGCAUGGGCUCCCAGCUAAAAUCACUAAUUGAGUUUGUCCACGAUUACGAUCCUUCUUUCUUCCUCUAGUUUAGACAGAGCUGAGGACGUACCUAUCCCCACUUCCAUUACCUCACCUUGCAUUUGAGAGUUGUCUUUCUAGUCGGAAGGUCGUCUUUCUCUAUAACAUAAAUCCUUCCAGUUCUGUUUCAUACUGGUAUAUGAAUUCUGCAAUUGUAGGUCCAAAUAUCUCUACAGAUUUCUGGCUAUUUACCCUGAUGUAUUUCAUAGUUGGGAUGUUGGGGCUGAAUGUAAGGGCCCCUCUCACAUAUCUGUUUCCUCUCACCAUAGAUCCAGGUUUCUUACUAUCCCCCUGGACAGUAUCCUAACUCCAACCAGCAAUAUCGACCUCUCUCUCACCCGGUGGCCUACAGCCCCCAACGUGGUCAACAGCUGCCUCAGCCAUCCCAGCAGCCUGGUAAGAGGAACUGCUGGUGUAAGAAGGCAGUGAAUAGGGGAAGGGCAGAGACUGGGAAAGAGAGUAGUACCUUCCUUGUUUUAAAAAAAAAAAAAAAAGAACAGCAGGAAUGAUUAGUCCCAGAAGGAACCCAGGAUCUUCAGAAAAAGAAAAGGUAAAAUAGACAGGAGAAGGGAAAUUACUGAGAGAAUGCGACCUCCUAAACAUUGUUGAGACCAUGCUAAGCUAAUGUCUUCUGUGUCUUGCCCGUCCCUAGGUUUACAGCCCAUGAUGCCUAACCAGCAGCAGGCGGCUUACCAAGGCAUGAUUGGGGUCCAGCAGCCACAGAACCAGGGCCUGCUCAGCAACCAGAGGAGCAGCAUGGGGGGCCAGAUGCAAGGCCUGGUGGUUCAGUACACUCCACUGCCUUCUUACCAAGUGGGUACAUUCUGUACUGGGAAAGAUCACCCAGUCCUUGGGAUGAGGAAAAGGAACACAGUCUCCCACGUUAGCCAGUGUGACAACCCCAACACUAAAAUACUGUUCACUUUCCCCUUAGAAUUUGUAGGUGUUUUUCCUCUGAGAGAAAGCCCAAAGAUUCUGAGAAGAGUCUUUACUUAAAUUGUUUGGUCUUUAUACAGCCAUGCAGAUGAGUAUAUGGCCCAGAAAAGUAAGAUCUAAAGGAAAUCAGGCUCCUUUCUCUGCAUCAGAUGCCUAAAGGGAGAUAGCUCUGUAUGUAUUUUCUUUAGGCAGAUGAGGUGAGUAGGAGGAGUCUCGAAAGGUAGGGAAGGAAGUUAGUGUCCUAGUCUAGUGAUGACUUAUUUGGCCAUUGUCUGGAUGAACUCAUUAGGAGUACAAGUGGUCAUUCUCUUCUCAUCUCUAUCCAGGUCCCAGUGGGUAAUGACUCGCAGAAUGUGGUCCAGCCGCCUUUCCAGCAGCCCAUGCUGGUCCCUGCGAGCCAAUCUGUGCAAGGGGCACUCCCAGCAGGGGGCGUACCAGUGUACUACAGCAUGAUCCCACCGGCUCAGCAGAACGGUACUAGGUGAGGACUCCAAGCGAGUCAGGGCCCAUCUGCCAUAGACCAGCAGCUAUUUCCACUGACCUAAGAAAGAAGGGCAAGGGUAGAGAUUCCAGUGUGCCCUAAAGCAGGUAGAAUAUGAGGAAAUUCAUUCUCCUUGUCUCAUUUUUGAUUUGACAUGUGAAUAAGAGCUCAUCAGCAGAAAAAAAUUCCUGCUUCAAAGACAGAGGCUUCAUCAUCUCCCCCAUUUUUUGUUUUUUCUAAUCAGUGGGAUUUAGAACUAUACGAUAGAGAUUGCUCAUCAUUAAAAGAAGCAAUUUGGGGGCAUCUUGGUGGCUCAGUCGGUUGAGCCCAGCUGACUCUUGAUCUCGGCUGAGGUCAGGAUUUCAUGGUUCGUGAGAUCAAGCCUCGAGUGGGGCUGUGCGCUGACAGUGCAUAGCCUGCUCUCUCCCCCUGCCCCUCUCUCUCUGCCCCUCCCCUGCAUGUGCACAUUCUCUCUCUCUCAAAAUAAAAAAAAAAAAAAAAUUAAAAGAUGCAAAUUGGAGUAUAUAUAUGUAAAUUUUUCUACAUAACUCUAUAUCCAUGGAUGAAUCUCAGAUGGUGUAUCUAUUUAUAUAUAUCUUAGUAUAGGUCAUACCUGAUAGAAUUUUAGAGGUAGAAGACACCUUAGAAAUAUUUAAUCCACUCCUCUUGUUUUCCUUUUCUCCCUUCUUUUACAAAUGAGGAAAUUCCAGCCAGGGAGGUUAAGAAACUUACUCAAAGUCAACCAGCUAGUUAGAAGUAGAGCUGGGACUAGAAGUCAAGUCUGGGCCUAUAUGUAUUUCUGUGUAUUUCUCUCAGUGUAUAUGUUCACUACUUUUUGUAUGUAUGUCUCCACCUUAUCUUGAGUUUGUGAGGGUUUUUCCCCACUUCUCUUUAGGUAACUCUGCUGUUAUGUAAACAUCCGAAAUCACACAUCUCCUUAGUUCUUUUUUGCCCAUCCCUCUCUAGCACUGUGUGUCUGUUUUUGGUACUUCGUGUUUCUCAGAAUGUGUGUGUGUGUGUGUGUGUGUGUGUGUGUGUGUGUGUGCGCGCGUGCGCAUGUGUGCACGUGGAUAUGUCUGGUGUUUCCACACUGUUGGGAAGAGCAUGUGUCACUAACAUUCCAUCUGUAGCACUGAUUAGCAGCUUCCUAAUUGAAAGAUGAUCAAGUACAAAUAUAUAUAAUUAACUUUGAACUGAUGAGUGAUUUUAGAAAUUGCAUGGCAAAUUGGUCUGGGAAUGGCUGGAAGCUGCCUCUGCUUCCCACAGGGGAGGCCUGGGAAGCAGCAGCUGGUUGCCAGGAGCUGUGUUCCUCCCUCCGCCACUUUAACCCUACUCUCUUCAUCCCCCAGCCCUUCUGUAGGGUUUCUGCAGCCUCCCGGCUCUGAGCAGUACCAGAUGCCUCAGUCUCCCUCUCCCUGCAGUCCACCACAGAUGCCACAGCAGUACUCAGGUAAGAGGAUAAAGAAUUAGAGGGUCUUGGGUAUUGGCAAGAGCAAACGCUGCUGAAAGACUUGUGCUCUAGAGCUGGGAAGGGUGGGAGAGUUCCUGGAUUGGCUCUGUCCCCAGCUAUAACACCAUCACAAGAAAAGACCAGAGUCCUGACUGGUGUUUUUCCAGGAGUGCUAAAGUUGACCUCGUGAGAGAUGAGGUUGGUUGCCCCAUCCUAUCCCUGGGAAGCCACAUACUUUAUUGUGUUCCUUGUGGGGUUUUUUUUUCUUUCUUCUUUUUUUCCUUCCCUCCGAAACCAGCAUUACACUCACCACUCACAUGCCUUUGAGACACAAAGUGCUUACCUCUGUCUCCUGCACUCACUCUUCCUAUAGACAGCUUUACUUUUUGGUUGUGAGUGUGAGGAAGCUGAUAAAAUGCUUUUUAAGUCCUAUCUUAGAUUUGUUUAGCUGCUUUUCAUUUGUGCUCACAUACAUUGUGUCAUUUUAAUUCUCACCAGAACCUUGUGAAGAGGAAAUUUAAGACUCAAAGAGGAUAAAUGACUUGCCUGAGGUCACAGUCGUAGACCUUGAACUAGGGUCUUUUGCCUUCCAUGCUGCAUCCUCAAUAUCACACUUUCAACAGGUCUCUGUACUCUAUUCCUUUCCCUCCAGUGGGAAAUAAAUGAAUAUCAUGUUAAAUAGCUAAAGGCCUUCUUUGAAGGGACAGCUAUCAGGUGAGUAGGCUUAUGCCAUGCAGGCUGUCUCUUUCUGCCUCUGCCAAGGACUCUCCCAGCAGACCAAGUACAGCUACCCUUGUUUGUUUCCCUUUUACCCAACCCUGACACAGCAUUACCCUGCAGUUAAAGCAGCUUCAGGGGUUCUAGUGGGGAGGAGAUCUUAAUGUAGCCUCCAACCAUCCCCAUUCUGCUCUGUUGUGGGAUAUCAGAGUGCCCUCUUCUGGUGAGAGGGAAGCAUUUUGACGGUUUUUCCCAUUUUAGAAAUAAGAUUUUCACAUAAGAGUUUUCGCACUCUUAGUUAGAUGCUGUGGAGUGAAUUCCAGAAUUAAUCUUGCUCAUAAGACAGGAUCAAUUCUUCUUACCUUCAAGGAGCAGUGACUUCUGCCUUCAUCCAGACCAAACGUGGCUUUCUCACAGGCUGAGAGGUUUUAAAUUCAACAGCCUUUACCCUUUAUUACAUUCCUGGUCUGUAGCUGUUUCUCCUAAGUGUCCACCGGGGGCACUUGACCUUGAAAUUCCCAGCAGGAUAUGGAAAUUGUAGAAAUCAGCUCCAAGAACCGCUGUAGCCUCUGGUGGUGCUUACUACUGCAGGGCAUUUUCUCUUGUUUGUUAAGACAAGUGUGUGUAUGUGCAAAUAGUUAUACUUGUAUGUGCAUUUUUAUGUGAAUCCUUCGUGGUAUAUCAGUAUAUGUAUUGGGUCUCUGUGGUUGUGUCUCUUCAUCUUCAGAUACAAGGUCUUGGAAUCUGAAACAAACCAAGUGAGAAGAAUUUUUCACUACCUGCUCUGGACUUAGUGCUAGGUUAAGCAAACCGGAACAGCUGUUGUUCUGAAAAUUGGCAGCACCAGAGGUCUGGGCUGGGAUUGGAAGAUCAUCUGGACUCUUCCCAGAUCAAUAGAAAUGGAGGAAGCCCUCUUCAUCAUCUAGUUUCCUUACUUUGGAAGUUCCUGUUAUAUGUCCUUUCUUCCAAACUAUCCUGAUUAAUUGAUUUGAGACUUCUCUGAUCCUUUGUACUCUUCCUAGAUGAUGGGACCGCCCCCCUCCUGUUCCAUCCAUGUCACCUAAGAAACCCAUAUACACACCACAUCAUCGAUUUUAAAAGUCUUCAGUCUCUACUCAUGGAAAUAUAAGAGGAGGUGGAAGAAAAGAAACAAGUGCUGCUUCUUCCUUCCUUUCCAGUUUACCUCUUACUAGGAAGAUAGAAGGCCAGCAUAGCCCACAAGGGCUGCUAUGUCACCUUCAAAGGACAGUCACCCGCCUUUCUCCCAUGUAGCAACAUGGUCACUUUUCCAAAAAUAAAGGCAGGGAUUAAGAUUGGCUGUUCUUGGAACAACUGUUCUGGUUUAUUAAUACAUUUUUGUGGUUGCCCAGUUUACCCCCAGGCCUGGACCUUAAUUCUUCCACUAUGAUAUUGGAUAGCAUUAUAACCCCAGGAAACACUUUUCUUCCUACUAAAAUGAUGGUCCGCAGGUCCCUUGAGGUUUCUACAGAGGUGCUUGUCUGCAGGAGAUGCACACAGACAUGAAAUGGCAAUGAUGUACACACACAGACUCCCAACUCACAGUGACACAGCACCAUGGCCAGAGUGAGGUAUAUACAGAAAUAGCCUCUCACAUACUUACUGGCUCAUUUUGUAGCUGAGGGGUUUCCAAAGCUGGGACUAACUCCUUUCUCUCCCACUCCCUGAAGAUAUUCCUCCCCUUCACCAAAAGAGGGGGAAAAAACCAAGAUAUUGUUGGAUUCUAUCCUGUAAUAUGGGAAAGAUGCCUGUGGAUAUUAUUUCUCUGGACAUUCCUUUCCAUAGAUUUGAUUCUUGGUGGCAAAAGAAAGAAGUCUUAUGAGUCUUCUACCUCAGUGAUUAAAAAAAAAACCAUAACAACUAAACAAAAACCAAUUCUGCCAGACAUAAAUGUCAUCUGUUUGUAUUUAUGCGGUUUGCUCUGCCCAAUCGACCUUUCUGCCCAGGUUUAAUGAUGCCACUUAAAAAGCCAUUCACACGUCCCCUCUCCUUUCAGAGCUUUCAGGCUGAAAUUGAUUUCCUUAUUCAACCCCCUUCUCCCCCUUCCCACUUCAGCCCUCCCCUGAUUAUCUGGAAGUGUUGUCACUGGGCAAUAGGGUGGUUUUCUCUCUUUUUUUCUUUCUUCCUUUCUUUUUCUUUCUCUUUUUUUAUUGUCACAUCCAUUUAAAAAGUAGCGACAGUUCAGCUGUAACGGAUGCCACCUGCUUUUGGCUUGAGGAAGAGAAGCAUAAAAAUCAGCUCAUCAGCGUAGUGCUCUGCGUCCCGGCUGAGUGAAGGAACAAUGCUUCAGGCCAGCGGGGGAGGACUCAGUGUGGGGAGGACCAAGGCUGCCACCGACCGAGAACCCUGCCUUUGUUUUUGUUGGGAUCAGAGAAAAUAUAUGAGGGCUUUGUUCUCUUUCCCCCUCCCCUUGAGCCCUCUAAUAGCUCCUUAUGGCUACAUGUUGGUAUUAGAAAGAUCUUCCGCCUUGCCUAUGCCCACACCCUGCACACUCACAUGUCCCCCACCCUUUCCUGGCCUGAGGCACUAGGCUCAGAUUAUGAGCCGCCUUCUAGAAAGCUGCAGAUGUGAUUAUUUUUGUGUUGGCCCCCUCAGGUAGCAAUGAGGUGUUUGAAUAAGGUCAAUUGCAAUUUUGUUGGUAGAGGAUGUUGGAGCAGGUGGGGCUCUUAGGAUGGGGAAAAAAAUGCCCAGAGCAACUACAGUACGGGGGGAGUUGUUAAAUGCAUGACACUCCACAGCUAUUCGAUUUUCUGGUGGCCCUCCUACAAGCCACGCUGAUGAAUACCCUGUCCCCUGUGGCAGAGGAUGGGGAGAGGCGAGCCUGUCGCUCUGAGUAUUUGUGCUCUCUGAUUAGAUGAACCCCAGAGGGUGGGGGGCCACAAAUUGACUGGAGAAUAGGGUUCAACAGAUGCUGCGUCUCCUGAGCUGCUCUCAGGCCUCCCACCGCUUCUUUUCCUUCCCUUUGACCGAUGCUACCCGAGAAAAGCAAUCGUGCUCAGUUCCCAGCAUGACUGGUGCCCAGGGCAGAGGCUGCAACAUUUCCCGUCACAGGAAGCAACGUGACGGCGGCAGCAGUGGCAGCCUAAGAGCACCGAGGCAUGAAAACGGCAGCACUGCAGCAGGUUUUCAAGCUGGCAGCCUCCAGUCCCAUUUCUCUACCGCCGCACACACAUGAACUCAACCUGUCCCUCAACACACAUAGAGCCUGAGAGGUCAAGAGCAAACUCUCAGUCUGCACAAUCCCCUGUGGGGAAGCAGAACUCCUGCCCAUCCCUCCCAGCAGGGACUGUCAUUCAAACUGCUUCUCCCUGAUCCCUUACCUUGCUUUUCACCAUGAGCAAGAUUCAGGACUUCAUGUUCUUCCACACUGAGCUCUUUGCUUCUCCAGCAGAGGGUAAGGCUACCCCUGGUUGUCUGUGCUAAAACUUCAGGAUCACAUCCAGUCAGUCACCUGAACCUGUCAGCAAAAGCUUCGGAGGGUCUGACCCUCCCACUCUUCCUUGCAGCCACUGGUCUAAUUCAGGACCUCCUCGCUAUUUUUCAGUAGCUUUCUAACUCUUCGUCCUGCUGCUGGCCCCUCCCUCCCUUAAGCCACUGUACAGCUGGCCACUUGAGUUAGCUCUCUGAAGUUCUGUUCCUAACACCUACAUGAUAAAGACCCUUACUAGAACGUGCUUCAAACUUGGACGCCAGCUGUUUGCUUACUAUCUGACUCCCUGAUAGACUGUCCAUUCCAUUAAGGGCAAGGACCACUUUUGUUUGUUGUACACCCAGUGCCCAGCAUAGGACCUGGCACACAGUAAAUAUUCAAUAAAUGUUGAGUGAAUGCAUAAACAAUCUCAUCUCCCGCUUCUCCUGCAUAACCGCUGUGCCUCCGCACCUUGAAUUGUUCGUCAUUUACUGAAUAUGACCUACAGCUCCAUGCCAUUCCUAAUUCACUCACCCUUGCCCAAGAAGUGCUUCCUGGCCUGACUUAGUGAAGCUAUGUGCACUCAUCUUCUCCAGAGCAACCAGAGAUCACUGACCUAUCUUCAGCCAUUACCAGAAAACCUGCACGUGCCUGCAGCCCUGGCCCAGGCCCCAGACUGGGACCUGUACCAUGCCCAGACAUUUGAGCAACCUGACCUGGACAUUUGGUAAUACCCAACUUUGACAGAAUGGAGUAGUUUUCUGCCAAGCAUACCAAAGUACCCCUCACCGGGUGAAGGCCAGGAGAGCAUUGGCAUCUGGGACUCAGGUCUCUUCUACUCAGACUUCACUGGUUCAGGGAGAAGGGAGUCAGAAACUAAAUUAGCAACUAUCUCAGAUUCCUGGCAAGACACAUUUUAAGUGACCCUGAGGCAAAGUGGGUAGAUUUGUUUACUGGCUUUCACACUCAGGGUUACUUGGAAGGUCACAAUAUAGUUUGAAUUCACAACUAGCCCCUUUCUUCCUGCCACUCAGGAGUGUCACCUUCUGGACCAGGCGUGGUGGUCAUGCAGCUGAACGUCCCUAAUGGACCCCAGCCCCCCCAGAACCCAUCCAUGGUCCAGUGGAGUCACUGUAAAUAUUACAGCAUGGACCAGCGUGGGCAGAAGCCUGGAGACCUGUACAAUCCUGACAGCAGCCCCCAGGUGAGUCCUACAAACCAGUGUUGUCUUGGCAAGGAGAUGACCGCAUUCUUCUCCGGGAAUAAUCUUUGCCAUUGACUGAGCAGCCUCUUGUACAUGUCUGUCCCUGGGUGCUCUUCUGGGAGAGUCAUAAGAAAGAGAGGAGAGCCUCUUCUUUCAAGGAGCCUAAGAGCUAAGGGAGACAUACUUGAAAAUGCUAAGACAAUGCUUAAAGCACUGUGUCAAAGGUGGAUAUUAAAAUAAUAGGUAUUAAUUAGGGACGAAGGGGGCUGUUGAAAGGAGCAGCCGGGCUUUGGCAGAGUUCUGCAAGAGACGCUUUCUGAGUGAGGUGAAUUUUAAGCCAUAGGUAUAUCCAGAGGAUGUUUGGUGUGUAUAUAAUGUGUGCUCCUCUCUCCUACAGGCCAACACACAAAUGAGCAGCAGCCCUGUCACAUCUCCUACCCAGUCUCCAGCACCCUCUCCUGUCACCAGCCUCAGCAAUGUCUGCACAGGACUCAGUCCCCUUCCUGUCCUCACACAGUUCCCCCGGCCUGGGGGUCCAGCACAGGGUAAGGGGUGAGACUAGAGCUGGCUGCUGCCAAAUUCACCCUUCACAGCCCAUUCCCAAGUGAGGACAUCCAGAUGGUAGCAACAGGCAGGAAAACAGUGCACCUGGUCAUCCAACUCUGGGAGCCAACUCUUCCUUUAACAUCCCUGUUUAGACCCUGCCCCUCUUUAGUGCUGCCCAUAGUCAGCUUACUGCAGACCUCCUUUACAUAUUUAGUAUUUACUACCAAGUAAGGUAGGUGGGUGACUAUGAGCUGGGAAAAGAAACUCACAGAACUUUCUAAUGAACCAAAGACUUUAAAACAUUGGUACUGAGCCUAAGGACUAGGACUGUGGGGCUGUGUCAGAAACAGUAUGGUUUUAGAAGAGAGAACACUGGAGUUGGGUUAAAAAGACUUGGGUUUGAGUUCUAGUUCUACUACUAACUAGGUUUGUGAUGUUGAGCGUGUUACUUAAACUUGGAACCAGACCUCAAUUUCCUAAUCUAUAAAAUGGGGUUAAUCACACAUAGAAUGGAAAUAAUCUUACCCGUUUCUGCCUUGGCUGUCACAAGCAGUAUAAAAAUCAGAUGGGAGUAUGAUUUAAAAACUUUAAAGUGCUCUGAAAUCUAACAUUUAUCAACACAAAUAGGUAACACUAUGGUACUGGAUAUAUAUGAAGCAUUACUGGAAGUGCUUUGUGUGUCCUAUAUUCAUUUAGCCUACUCAGCAACACUAAUGAGAUGAAAACAUACCCAACCUAUCAUUUCCAGUAACAGAGCCAGGAUUUGAACCUAGACAGUUUGACACCAAGCCUGUAAUCUUAUCCACUACACUAUAUUGCCACGCAGUGCGAAUCCAAAACUUGAGCCCUGGGUUUGGGUAGGAUAAUCUGUAUAAGAAAUUAGGGGUACCUGGCUGGCUGAGACGGUAGAGCGUGCGACUCUUGAUCUCAAGGUCGUGAGUUCAAGCCCCAUUUGCGGCAUAGAAAUUACCUAAGAGAAAGAAAGAAAAAGAGAAAGAAAGAAAGGGAGGGAGGGAGGCAGGGAGGGAGAAAGGAAGGGAGGGAGAGAGGGAGAGAGGAAGGAAGGAAGGAAGAAAGAAAUGAAAGAAACAUAUUCAUAAGGGUCUAUAGAUUUUCUCCUGGGCCUUUUGUCUGCAGUGGACAGAGCCCUUCUUUAAGAAUAAAGGAACCUAAAAGCCCCAUUUGCAUGAGAUACACAGCUGAGGGCCAAGCAGUUUAGGCAGAGAGACAACUCUUCAGUCAGUCACAUGGGCACUCUUAUCAUAGAAGAAGUAAGAAUAGCAUGCAUUGUUGCCAUCUAUCUCCAAAGCCCUCUAAAGUUUCCUAAAAGUCAUACCAUGAAGUUCUAACUCCCAGAAAACCAUCUGCUCUUCCUCCCUAGGUGAUGGGCGCUACUCCCUCUUGGGCCAGCCAUUACAGUACAAUCUGUCCAUCUGCCCUCCCUUGCUCCAUGGCCAGUCGACGUACACGGUACAUCAGGUGAGGGUGUCCACCGUCAGCCUGAGGACCGUCAGAGCCCUCCCCACCCCACCCCACCCAGGAGGAUCCAUCCAGGAUGGCCCCAUCUCUGUGCCAUCCACCUCAACCAACGGGGUGGACAGGGGACAUAGCACAGUGAGAAUGGACAAAGUGGGGAUGCCUUACCCCUCUCCCACACUCAGUCUUUCCACCCAUCCCCAAUGCUAAGGAGGAGGGACUCUUUGUUUCUCAGUGGCCACUCUGGCCAGUCGCCUGCCUGGUGGGGCGAGUUCUCAGGGUUGGGUACUGCUCCUUAAUCUCUCAGACAGACAUUAGAAUGCAAGGCAGUCAGUAUUGUUUACCUGGGAUGAGAGUUGUCUUUUGAAUGUUGAAGGGACAGAGUGGAUUGAAGCAUGGAAACCGGAGCAAGAGACAAGCACUCAAAUCUGCCUCCACUGACCUGGGGACAACAGACGUUGGUGAGUGACAAGACACUGAAUCCCCAAGAGAAGGUGCUCACCCCUUCAGCCUGCAUCACCAGCCCAGGACCAGUGGGAAAAACCAGCUUAGGGUAGGGGGUAGAAAUAGGACUCUUUGGUACUCAAGAGCAGGGAGAAACUGGGGAAUUGAAGUAUCUCCCUCAGUCUUCCUUACCAAGCCAUUUCAGGUGCUUGGAAAGGUGAUGGUAAAAACUGAGAAUAACAACAAUGGUCAACGGUGCUGAGCCUAUUAACAGAGAGUCUUGUGGGAGUGGUUCUGACCCUAAUCUAGGAUAUCUACCUUGUAGUCCUAGGCCUUUUUAAGGAGAAGUUUGACAAGAGAAUGGGGGAGUAGCCCCCUUGCAGGCCUUCCACACUAGGCAUACAAGGUCUCUCAGAUUACCCCUAUUUUUUUUUUAACGUUUAUUUAUUUAUUUUGAGAGAGCAUACACGUGUGUGUGCUCGAGCUGGGGAGGGUCAGAGAGAGAGGAAGAGAGAAAAUCCCAAGCAGGCUCCAUGCUGUCAUUGCAGAGUCUGAUACAGGGCUUAAUCUCACGAACUGUGAGAUCAUGACCUGAGCCUAAAUCAAGAGUCGGGUGCUUAACUGACUGAGCCACCCAGGCACCCACCCGAUUACCCCUAUUCAGAGUGGUUUGCUUAUUUAGGAAAGGAAGGGAAAUGGACUUCCCUAGAUGAUAAGAAAGAGGGAUCUCUUUGGGCCAGCCUCUGUGAGGGGGACUAUGCGAUAUAUUUCAGCUUGGGUUACUGACUUUGUGGAAGAACUGAAGUGUAGGUCUCCAGAUCUGAAGUCUAGGAUUCUGAUCCCCAGUUUCUUCUUGCCUACAUCUCUGGUCCAAGAGAAGAAAAAGGUUUCUUUGUUUCUCCUAGUUGCCUAGAUGGUGGGGUGUUGGCUUGAUUUGGGGAAGGAGGAAUGGGUUAAGUGGGCAAAGCCAGGCUUUGAGGAUGUCAUCUAUAGACUUGGAUCAGCUGCCUGCUUCUCUGCUGGCCGCUCUCCAGUCCUCUGUACUGUCACCUCUCACAACCAUGUCCUCUCUCCUCCCCUUCCAGUCCUGGGCCGGGUGCUGGAGGUGACAGAUCUCCCUGAGGGCAUCACUCGGACUGAGGCGGACAAACUCUUCACUCAGCUUGCCAUGUCUGGCGCCAAGAUCCAGUGGCUCAAGGAUGCUCAGGGGCUGCCUGGCGGGGGCGGGGGGGACAACGGUGGGACUGCUGAGAAUGGCCGCCACGCGGACCUCGCUGCCUUGUACACCAUCGUGGCUGUGUUUCCCAGCCCCCUGGCUGCCCAGAAUGCCUCCCUUCGCCUCAACAACUCCGUGAGUCGCUUCAAACUUCGAGUGGCCAAAAAGAACUAUGACCUGAGGAUCCUGGAGCGAGCCAGCUCCCAAUAAACGGAGGAGGGGAAGGGACCGGCACAGUAGGGGUGGGGGCAGGGCGGAGGGGGUCGAGGGAUCCUGACAGACUACGGACAGAGGCAGAAAGAAAGGUGACAGACACUGAACUGGAGCCUAAGACAGUGGGGAUGAAGAUGGAAACAGACACUCACACUGGCACUGGACUCCUCGCUCCCCUGCCAUGGAUCCCUUCUUUUUCCCUGGUUGGCCCCCCUUGCUGCCCUCUCCUUCCCAUCCUCUUCUGUCAUUUUUUAUCUCUUCUCCCACCAUGAAAUUAAUUUUUUUCAUAUUUUUUGGUCAGGUAGAAUUGGGAGGGUCCCAUGCUCCCCUAUUCGAUCUCCUCUACCAUCCCAAGCUCCCUUUUCAUUUCUGGUCUUUAUGAAUAUAUUUAUAUGGACAGAAUUAAGAAAAGCAAAAUUGAUUUCCCCUUUCUCUCACUUCCCCCAUCUUGUCUCCCCAAACCCCAAAGAGUUAAAACUUGGGCCUCCCCCACCUCCCAGAACACUUGUAUAUUGUUUGUUUGAGGUUCGUGCCGCAGUAACAGACAGUAUUUAAUUGCACAUACAGAUGUUUGCUGGGUAUAUUCACUGUAAAUUUUAUUUAAUCUGAUUUUUUGUUUGUUUGGGGGGUUAUUUGGGGGGGAGGUUGAUUUUGUUUUUAAAUAUAAAAAAAAAAAAUCUGUCACUGGACGUCAGUCCCUGUUUCUCUGUUGCUGACCCGGUGUGGGUGGGGGUCGGAGGUCCUAGGUAGGUACAGCCCCACAGCUUGUCGGAGAAAUUUCAUGUUUUCUUUAACAUAUGCACACAUACCUUCCUAACACUAUUCCCUGCAUCCCAUCCUCCUCCUUGUACAUGGUGAUUCUGAUAGAUGGCUGGAUCUCUAAUGGGACCUUUGUUCUGGGCUCUCCCAACUCUGCCACUAAGUGUGGUUUCAUCAAGCACAUCCAUUUGCAACUCCUGACCUCUGUCUGACUCUUUAUUAGUAAAAUAGGAGACUUGAACUAACUUGCUUAUCUCUGAGGUUCCUUCCACUAUGUUAAUUCUGUGAUACUCAUUUCGGGCCCUCCUGGCUGAGCUGUGGAGGGUGAGUGAGAUCCAGAACCAGGUUGAGAUGGUGGCCUCAACAAUCUGGAUAUGUAUCCAGCAUCCGAUCUUCUGAAAACUCUUCAGGGAUGGAGGACUUGGGCCUUUUAUAAUAUGAAAGCUAGAGGAUUGGGUUCUAUGACAAACAGAAGCGGAUGUUCUUAUAUAAAAGCUACAUCAGUUGAACUUGAAGGGUCAAGAUACUGUAUCACCCAGGCAUGCUCAGCAGUCCCUGUCCUAUGCAACCGAAGAAAGGUGAAAAACACGUUAUCCACCUGCAUGGAUGGAGCUUCUCCUCUCUCUGAGGCUUCUCAAAGCUAGCCCUGUUGUCGUGCAGCCUGUCAGACCAGGGCCUUUAAGAGCCAUCCAGCAGCCCCUUUUCCAUCUCACCCACCCCUUAACAAAAUAAAAAAGAGCAGUGACAGAAAUGACAAAGUACAUUACCCUGGAAAUCGCUUGGGUCUGGGUAGCAGUAUCUCUAGCCAGGCUCCUCUGAGGCUUGUCUGACCCAACCUCCAACACAAUCCUUUACUUCUUACAGAUACAAGGGAUAAAGCAGCACUACAUGACCACCUCCAAAUGGCCCUCCUUUGAGAUCCGAGGAGUAACUCCUCUUUCAGCCAUGUCACAACCCAGAGUAGGAGAAGGCCGGAGCCCUGUGAGACAAGAAUGUCAGAUAUCUCAUUGACCCAUAAGCUCCUAUACCAGGGCAUCAGAUGAGGGAAGUGGAAUCAGGGAAUCAAAAUGAUUUAGGAAGUGUGGGGCUUGGCUGUCCUACCUCCAAAAGUUUACAGUCCUCAUGGAGAAGCAGAAGCAGACGUUGCUUACAGAGGAGGAAAAAACCGUGUGUGGUAGCUUUUGCCUUCUGUCCAGUGUUAACGAGACCAUCUCUACCUGACCAUUAGACCCUUACUCUCCCAGAGCCCCUCAGGUGGAAGUCCCAUCCUGGCUUUUUUCAGUAGCUCAGAGAAGUCCCUUCACUUCACCCAGGGGAUAAGGUUUUAGAAUGGGGGAAGGAUGUCUCAGGGGGCACUGGAGAGAAUAAAGCAGUACUAUGCAUGGUCUACACUCCCUUUCAGGAUGGCAGCAAGGUACCCCUCCAACCAUCAAUGGAUAAAGAAUGCAAUCUAGUCUGGCUGACAGGAGACCUCUGAGAAUUCAAAGUCUCCUUUCUCACCAGUUUCCAGCCUUUGCUUCCUAAAGGUUUGAGGCUAGAUCGAUGCUUGAGGGUGUAAAAACAUGACCACAGGAAGACAGUGGCUGAAAAAAAUCAAAAGCUAGUUCCUCAAGUAGGUCUGGGGCAGGUAGACUCGGAGAGGUGUGUGGACCUCGGGGAAGGCUGUUUAUAAUUUCAUCUUUACGUUCAGUCAUCCAAAGUCACCUAAGUGAGUAUGCAGCCUGAACAGACACUGCCCUUCCUUGAAUUUAGCCAGAACUGACCUGUACACGGUAGAUGAAAAACCAGGACACAGUGGCUUUGGGGGAUGGGAGGAGUCAGGGUCCAGCCCAGCCCAGACCUCCCCGUGUCCAAUUUCUCUGUGUCAGCUGUGGCGCUCAGCUGUCCACUUUCCUCCAGCCCUGUCAUUUCAGCUCUGACACCAAGGCGAGAGACUAGGAGGUCUACAAAUAACGUCUGGGUAGCCGCUGUGAGUACAGAGGGUACUGGGGGGGCUUAGCCCCCAAGGAAGAGGACCAGUCGUCCCCCAGCACCACCAUCAAGACCCCAGGGGCUCCCUCUUUCCUCCACAGACUGUGGACUGACUUAGGGAAUCCCAAACGUAAGUUGCCUCUUCAUCCCCCGUCCAUUUCCAGCACUGCUCCCCGCAGCUUCCCCAAUCUGUAGUCUAUUCAACGUCUUCGUUUCUCUCUUGCCUGUGAGUAGUUAGGGUUUUAGGAGUGAAAUUAUUACUCUACUCCAGGACAAGAGCUAGGAUUGGAGGGUGGGGUGGGGGUGGGGUCAAGGGAAUGGAGUAGUAAGGGAAGGAAAGGCUCAUAUUACUCUGAAAACUUAAAAUAGCUGAGGACUGAGGCAGGCUGGGAACUAGGCCCUGGGCCCCAGGGACUCAAAGGGGUAGGGGAGAGCAAAUGUCCCCAGCCCAUCCCUCCAGGCAUGCUUCUGGACCCACCCAUUAAGCCUCUUGAAGAAAGGGGGUUCUGGGAAGGUGUGUGUCAUAUCUCGGUUGCCCACAGAUUCCCAGGAGAAACAAACUGUAGGAAAAUCCCUGAACCAUGCAGCUUUGAGCACCAUGUUGGGGCUAUAAAUUUGGGUUGCGCCUCUGGGUGGAAAGGAUGGGUAUCUAGCUGUUUGAGGAACUGGCGGGGAAAGUCUUUUGUCUGUUGCACUUUUCUCUGGACCUCCAUGGAAUCUUCCUGUUCAUAAGUCUGUCAAAGGAUUUCUGUUUAACCAAAGUCCUCCCAAAGUCUCCCUUUCAAGGACCACCACCCCCCCCCCCCCCCCCCCCCCCCCCCACCCCGCUACAGUGAGGGACAGGAAUUAGGAAAGGAAGAAUGGCAGUCAGAGAUCAGAUUCCAUAGUGGGUCCAACCUCUUGCAGGAUGACAGAAAAGGAGGUGCUGGAGUCCC
rnacentral:lncRNA from 1 species